UGAACGAUCCCUAUUUACUAUGUACUAACGAUGAUAUUUUCAAGGUUAAAUUAUGCGCUUACUUUUAGCGCAGUCAGCUCCUUUCCUUCUUGGUUGUGUGUUUGUUUGGCUAGCAUGCAUUUCAAUUUUACUACUUCUACCUGUUAACUUUUUCAUGUUGGAUUGCUAGGGCCGAACUCUGUAGGUUCAGUGGGGCGAAGAUCUACCAUGGCAAAGGCAUCAGAUUUAUCUUGUUCAACUCUCAGAGAUAAAGGUGAUCGCUGCAUAUUUGCUCGCUGUGUUGGGUGCCAAGACCAACUCACUUACUGGGGGUUAAUUGAAUGGAGCAGAGAUUGGUUUUUGCAGUCCAGAUAAAACGAAACCCACUACAUCAUCACCUCUAGAUCUCUCUAUUUAGUUUUCUAGUCAAUUCGUUUAUGGACUGUACUAACAUAAGAUAAUGACCACCCAAGAAUUUCCUAAACAAUCUCAUCAAAACCUUCGGGUUCAGCUUAAGCAAAGGUAAAGAGCCAAACCCAGAUUCCAGUUUCUUCAAUUUCAACUUCAAGAUAUGAUCUUUUAAGAUUUUGCUCUGUUUUCUUUUUUUUGAUUGAUGAUAUGGCAAUAACGAAGAGGACUUUGAGAGAAUUGCUCAACAGGAACAGGUUCUCCAGUUUACAAGGAGGUUUUAUCAACAUAUGCAGGGAGGUUAAAGAAGAUUAUCAAGCAAGAAAGGAGAAGAUCCCUGAUCAAGUACUCGGGCUAUAUUUUGACUUAGUGUUGAUGACAUGAUGGACUAUAAACUUUGGACUUUAUAUUUUUUUAACCAUUUCAUAUGUUGAUGGACUUUUAUAAAUGUUCGACUUUAUAUUUUU